rnacentral:rRNA from 1 species
AAUCAACGCUGGCGGCGUGCCUAACACAUGCAAGUCGAACGAGAAAGGGGACUUCGGUCCCUGAGUACAGUGGCGCACGGGUGAGUAACACGUGACUUAUCUACCCUCGAGUGGGGAAUAACUUCGGGAAACCGAGGCUAAUACCGCAUAAUACCCACGGGUCAAAGGAGCAAUUCGCUUGAGGAGGAGGUCGCGGCCGAUUAGUUAGUUGGCGGGGUAAUGGCCCACCAAGACAGUGAUCGGUAUCCGGCCUGAGAGGGCGCACGGACACACUGGAACUGAAACACGGUCCAGACUCCUACGGGAGGCAGCAGUGGGGAAUUUUGCGCAAUGGGGGAAACCCUGACGCAGCAACGCCGCGUGGAGGAUGAAGUCUCUUGGGACGUAAACUCCUUUCGAUCGGGACGAUUAUGACGGUACCGGAAGAAGAAGCCCCGGCUAACUUCGUG